CUUUCCUUGGAGAAGUUUACUUCUGGAGGUGUUAAUGUCGAGGGAGAGACCCUCUUCAUCUAGGAUAAGUGAUGCAAUUUGGAGGAAUUUCAAACAAGUGUUGAUUUCCUGUGGCCUAUAAUUACUUGUUAAUGAAAACAGCUAAGAACUGAGAGGUUGCUGAAUGAGGGUGUGCAGCCUUUUCCAUCAGAGUGAAGGUGAUGCAAGGUGUCGCAGCUACUGAUCUGGACCAGUUUGGGUUAAACCUCUCCUUCCUCCUCCAGCCACAGGUCUGACUCAAAGUUCAGCAUUCUUCCUCGUCAGCAGUUGUUUGUGUUAGCAAAGGACAUGUGUGCAACCAAAGGAGAAGGACCUUCAUGCACCCAGAUGCCAGCAAGUCCAGCAGAAAUUCAUUAUCAGGCUCUAACAUUUUGUCUUUAUUGCUAGAGGGACUGGAGGAACUUUCCCUUCACCCUGCUGCUGCCAUGAUCGGGGGGAGGUGGAGGGAAUUAAUAUCCUGCAACAUCCCAUCAAAUCCCCAAAUGCAUUCAUAGCACUGGGUUAAGCAAUCCAUACUUAGACAAGGUUUUAACUCCUAAUACACUUCAGAUAUUUUACGUGCUUCAGUAAGUCUACUGUGCUAUAACAAAUAUAUGUCAAGGAAAAGUCCCACGAUUAGUUUUAGUACCUUUUGGUAUCUGAACAAACACUGAAUAUCUACAUCAAAGCAAAAAUUUUCAGAGUAGUUCAAAGAAAUACAAUUUAUUGUCCUUAAUAUCAUCUCCUUUAAUGGGAAACCUCUCUCAUUACAUUCGUUCUUGGCUUUUGGUAAGCACUAAUGCAAAAUUCUUCUCUCUCUUGCAUAACAAUACUUGAAGGAAAAUUCUUAUUCAGAAGUUCCUACGUAAAACAAACAACUUCUGAUUGAGCCAGAGCAGAUUUUAAUAAAACUUUCUAUUCUUGCCUUAAAAAGAUAACAUGUGAUGGAGAAUCCUCCACAAUAUAGAUAAAUUGUUCUGAUGAUUAACUGCCUUCACUGUAUGUAUGUCUGAAAAGGAGACUUAUUUCUGAUCCAUGCAUUUGUCUUGCUUCCUUCUGCCUCUAAAAAUUGUCCUGGCUUCGAUAAAUCAGUGUAACUUAUUCCUUUCUAAUUUUUUUUAUUACAUUUGUAACAUAUUCCAAUGCUUAAGGGGUGACUGACA